rnacentral:misc_RNA from 1 species
ACUUUUGACUUAUGAGAAAUGUUAAUUCGGUAUGUAUAAUUCAGAGUUAUAGACAUGUUAGCAUGACACAUAAUGUGUAUUUAAGACUAGAAAGCUUUCAAAUAAACUCUAACACAAUGGAUGGCUACAGUUGUCGCUUGUCACCACCUCCCCUAAGUUGGGGGCAAACUUAGGGGUGGGGUGGGGCUUGAAACAAACACUAAAAUUUUGGGGUAUUAUAAAGUGAUAUGGUUGUUUGCAUCUUGGAACUAACAUAUGAAUGGCUUUCUGAUUUCAGAUUAGGUGAAUCGGUUGAUAGA